AGGGCCGCGGUAAUUUGACUGUGCGAAGGUAGCAUAAUCAUUAGUCUUUUAAUUGAAGACUUGUAUGAAGGGUCGGAUGAGGUGCUGGCUGUCUUUUUUUUAUUGUUUUGAAUUUAACUUUUAAGUGAAAAGGCUUAAAUUUAGUGAAGUGACGAUAAGACCCUAUAAAACUUUAUAUGUUUUUAUUUUCAUUAAGAAUAUAUAAGUUGGUUUUAAUAUGGACAUAUUUCGUUGGGGAAACGUUGAUAUAAUUAUAAUUGUUUAUAAUAAUAUAAUAGUUGUUGUUAGUUUGUGAUCCUUUAUUAUGGAUUAAAAGUUUAAGUUACUUUAGGGAUAACAGCGUAAUUUUCUUUGAGAGUUCUUAUCGACAAGAGUAGUUGCGACCUCGAUGUUGAAUUAAAAUUUCAGGUUGGUGUAGUCGCUUUCCUAGUGGGUCUGUUCGACCUUUAAAAUUUU
rnacentral:rRNA from 1 species